GGCGCUAUAGCCAAGUGGUUACGGCGACAGAUUAGAACCCCAAGUGAUCUGUUACUCUUUGAGUGCGCAGGUUCGAAUCCUGCUGGCGUCG
rfam:Paxillus involutus ATCC 200175 unplaced genomic scaffold PAXINscaffold_82, whole genome shotgun sequence.